rnacentral:rRNA from 1 species
AUCCAGCUGGCUAAUACCCGGUUGGGAUGACGGAAAAAAAAAAAUAAGCACCGGCUAACUUCGUGCCAGCAACCGCGGUAAUACGAAACGGUGCAGCGUUACUCGGAAUUUCCUGGGCGUAAACCUGCGUAGGUGGUCGUUUACCCCUGUUGGGAAACCCCUGGGCUCUCCUGGGAACUGCAUUGGAAACUGGACGACUAUUUGUGGUACAGGGUAGCGGAAUUCCUGGUGUAGCAGUGAAAUGCGUAGAUAUCAGGAGGAACAUCCAUGGCGAAGGCAGCUUCCUGGACCAACACUGACACUGAUGCACCAAAGCG